rnacentral:rRNA from 1 species
GAUGAACGCUGGCGGCGUGCCUAAUACAUGCAAGUCGAGCGAACAGACGAGGAGCUUGCUCCUCUGACGUUAGCGGCGGACGGGUGAGUAACACGUGGAUAACCUACCUAUAAGACUGGGAUAACUUGGGAAACCGGAGCUAAUACCGGAUAAUAUAUUGAACCGCAUGGUUCAAUAGUGAAAGACGGUUUUGCUGUCACUUAUAGAUGGAUCCGCGCCGCAUUAGCUAGUUGGUAAGGUAACGGCUUACCAAGGCAACGAUGCGUAGCCGACCUGAGAGGGUGAUCGGCCACACUGGAACUGAGACACGGUCCAGACUCCUACGGGAGGCAGCAGUAGGGAAUCUUCCGCAAUGGGCGAAAGCCUGACGGAGCAACGCCGCGUGAGUGAUGAAGGUCUUCGGAUCGUAAAACUCUGUUAUUAGGGAAGAACAAAUGUGUAAGUAACUAUGCACGUCUUGACGGUACCUAAUCAGAAAGCCACGGCUAACUACGUG